AGUGAACGCUGGCGGUAGGCCUAACACAUGCAAGUCGAACGGCAGCACAGUAAGAGCUUGCUCUUACGGGUGGCGAGUGGCGGACGGGUGAGGAAUACAUCGGAAUCUACUUUUUCGUGGGGGAUAACGUAGGGAAACUUACGCUAAUACCGCAUACGACCUACGGGUGAAAGCAGGGGAUCUUCGGACCUUGCGCGAUUGAAUGAGCCGAUGUCGGAUUAGCUAGUUGGCGGGGUAAAGGCCCACCAAGGCGACGAUCCGUAGCUGGUCUGAGAGGGUGAUCAGCCACACUGGAACUGAGACACGGUCCAGACUCCUACGGGAGGCAGCAGUGGGGAAUAUUGGACAAUGGGCGCAAGCCUGAUCCAGCCAUACCGCGUGGGCGAAGAAGGCCUUCGGGUUGUAAAGCCCUUUUGUUGGGAAAGAAAAGCAGCAGGUUAAUACCCCGCUGUUCUGACGGUACCCAAAGAAUAAGCACCGGCUAACUUCGUG
rnacentral:rRNA from 1 species